rnacentral:lncRNA from 1 species
UCACUUGCCUACUUGAUAUUUGUCACAAGAAAAAACACAAAAAGACUCCUGACACUUAGACCCAGCAAACUGAAAUAGACACGAUACCAUGUUGAAUUUUUAGACCUGUCAUUUUUCCUCUUUUUGCGUUGGUCAAACUGUUUUCAAGCCAAGCAAACCCUUAAAAAUUCACCCAGCUAUAAGAGAUGACAACAACGUAGCUCUGAACCAUACAUCCAGCAACAAACAGCAAACCCUUACAGGUACACUGAAACCAAGCAGUUUUCACAAAUUCCAAAGGUAGAAAGCCAAACCGACUGCACUCAUAGCCACCCACCCAUCUCAUUGCCAGCCCAGACCCAGGCUCGUGGGAGACUGAGACAUCUCCAUUCCCAACAAAACUUCCUAGAGCACAACUAAGGACUGGUAUUGGAGCCAGACUAAAAGCGAACCGGCUGUGGGAGAAGCAGAACCCUUCUCGCAGCAGCUUACAUGUGCGCGUCGGGCCGGCUCGGCUUCACUCUAGAGACGCGGGGCUCCGGACGCGGCCCCCCAUGGCGGCGCUGCUGGCGCUGUCCGUGGUGCUGAAGCGGCACUCAGCCGUGCCGGACGGGGCGGGAGCUGAGCGCGGCGCGGUCGAAGCGGCUCCUCAUCCUAAUGUCCUCCUGAUGGAUGGGGCAGAGCUAUUCGGGAGAGCAGGAGAUUUGCUUCCUAAGGAAAAGCCUUCUGCGAGCUUGGCAUUGGAAGACAACAACAGCAUUGCAGUGACACAGCAUUAACUCCAGGCAUCAUUGUACAGAACAUUGGUGGUGGCCACAUCGCAGCAGGGCUGGUGCCGUGGGAUGGCUCUAACAAGGACUGCUGGCACUGCUGAUGGUGGAAGAGCAGCUGGACCUCUCAUUGUUCCAGUGAAAUGAGCUUUCUUACAAGACAGACAAAUGCAUCACACAGUGGAGUUGCGUGUGAGGACUUGUGCUUUAAGCGAUAAGUACACUGCGUGGCAGCCAGGUGACCUACAUUCACAGCUGAAGACAUAAAGCUGACACAACAGGGAAUUGCAUCUAACAUACAAACACAGGAAGAGGGCUAAGCAGAAGGGCCAUGCCUUUUAGAAGAAUAACCUGAGCAAGAGCAGCUGCAUGGGGAAAGAUUUUCCUGCUGCCAUAUGUAAGAAGCCAAACAGAUCAAUACUUAAUUUACAAGUAUUGCCAAUGAUUGACAGUACCUGUUGUGCAGGGUGAAGACUGACAAGCCUGUAACCAUUUCUAGUGCAACACCUACUCCUUAGUCAGUCACUAAUGAUGCUUUUCUUCCCAAACCUCAUUCAAGCAGUGCCUGUCCUCUGCUGUCCUGUCCCAGCAAAGGAAUCUGCUCCUACGAAUUAAAUCUGCUGUUCAGAACUAAAAGAGUUUUCCUCUAUUUACAAUUUUAAGGCACAUCUACACACAUAAAUACUAGACUUGCCUGUUUGGAGGUUUGACAUUUUACUGACAACCAUACAAGUUAGGUUAUGCAGAUGGAAGAGACGCUGCCAUUUUUAGGUAUAAUUAGCAUUUCAUUUCCUUUCAAACAAUUUCCACAUCAUGUUCAGCACCAUCAGGGCAAUAGAAAUGUUCAAAAGAACACUCCACUGCAGGCUUGUAUUAUUAAAAAAAUAAAAAUAAGAAAAAUACCUUAAUAUCUGAACCA